AUAAGAUUGGUUUGGCAUCUGAUUUUAUUUCCAAAUAUAGUUUCAAAAAUCAUUCACCCACUAAAGGAAGCAUUGAAUGGAUACUGCUGGUGGUAAUUCAGAUUCCCUUCCUUUACUGCUGGAGAUAAAAUGUUGAAUGAAAGUCUAAAGGUAGAAAAUAUAAGCAGAACUUCUGAUAUUGUUGAAUUCUAACUUCCACCAUUCCUCAUCAAGGGACCUGCUGGGAGCUGGAUUUCACCUGUAUCUGGAAAACUGACUGUUGAUAUAAAAGAAAUAGUGUUUGGAUUAAAGCUGGGAUGUGGGAUAACCAACAUUUCAAGCUGGAGCUCUCUUGUUUUUUUAAAAGUAGGUUAAGAAAGGGAGAUAAUUUUGUAAGUCUUGGAGGCAACUAAAGAUUGCCAUUUAUAAAUUUUCCUUAGCUCCUUUUGCCUGGAUUUUGAGCACCAAGAAGAGCCAUGAAUUUGACACAGCAGGGAUCUUUAUAGAUAUUCUGUCUCCACUAGAUGAGAGCCUUCGAACCUACAAACCAAACUUUAGCACUCUCGGGUAAGGAAUUUCCAAAUGCAGUUUUCGAUGGAGGGAGCGGAGGAGAUGCAUGAUGUGCUGGGAGUCCUUGUUGCCGCAGCAGCAGGGUAAUGUGCUACCCUUGUGAGACUUCAUUUUGGAAGCAAAGUAGAAGGUUAGAGUAGGCUGCAAAUAGUUUCUUAUGGGUGGCAAGACCAGGAACGUGGAGUCACUUGCCCCCAGAAGGUCUUCUGAAAAAAGAAAACAAUGACUAUGUC